UAGGGAAUCUUCGGCAAUGGGGGCAACCCUGACCGAGCAACGCCGCGUGAGUGAAGAAGGUUUUCAGAUCGUAAAGCUCUGUUGUAAGAGAAGAACGUGUGUGAGAGUGGAAAGUUCACACAGUGACGGUAACUUACCAGAAAGGGACGGCUAACUACGUGCCAGCAGCCGCGGUAAUACGUAGGUCCCGAGCGUUGUCCGGAUUUAUUGGGCGUAAAGCGAGCGCAGGCGGUUUAAUAAGUCUGAAGUUAAAGGCAGUGGCUUAACCAUUGUUCGCUUUGGAAACUGUUAAACUUGAGUGCAGAAGGAGAGAGUUGAAUUCCAUGUGUAGCUGUGAAAUGCGUAGCUAUAUGGAGGAACACCGGUGGCGAAAGAAGCUCUCUGGUCUGUAACUGACGCUGAGGCUCCAAAGCGUGAUGAGCAAACAGG
rnacentral:rRNA from 1 species